rnacentral:rRNA from 1 species
CACGUAGUUAGCCGUCCCUUUCUGGUAAGAUACCGUCACAGUGUGAACUUUCCACUCUCACACUCGUUCUUCUCUUACAACAGAGCUUUACGAUCCGAAAACCUUCUUCACUCACGCGGCGUUGCUCGGUCAGACUUCCGUCCAUUGCCGAAAGAUUCCCUACUGCUGCCUCCCGUAGGAGUCUGGGCCGUGUCUCAGUCCCAGUGUGGCCGAUCACCCUCUCAGGUCGGCUAUGUAUCGUCGCCUUGGUGAGCCGUUACCCCACCAACUAGCUAAUACAACGCAGGUCCAUCUGGUAGUGAUGCAAUUGCACCUUUUAAGCAAAUGUCAUGCAACAUUUACUGUUAUGCGGUAUUAGCUAUCGUUUCCAAUAGUUAUCCCCCGCUACCAGGCAGGUUACCUACGCGUUACUCACCCGUUCGCAACUCGUCCAGAAGAGCAAGCUCUCCCCUUCAGCGUUCUACUUGCAUGUAUUAGGCACGCCGCCAGCGUGU